rnacentral:tRNA from 1 species
UUAAUUGAAACCAAAUUAGAGGUAAUUCACUGUUAAUGAAUAAAUUGAUAUUUAUAUCCAAUUAAA